UACAGAGGUCUCAAGCGUUGUUCGGCUUCAUUGGGCGUAAAGGGUGCGUAGGUGGCGCGCUAAGUCAGGUGUGAAAUCUCGGAGCUUAACUCCGAAACUGCAUUUGAUACUGGUGUGCUUGAGGACUGGAGAGGAGACUGGAAUUCAUGGUGUAGCAGUGAAAUGCGUAGAGAUCAUGAGGAAGACCAGUGGCGAAGGCGGGGCUCUGGACAGUUCCUGACACUGAGGCACGAAGGCCAGGGGAGCAAACGGG
rnacentral:rRNA from 1 species